AGAGUUUGAUCCUGGCUCAGGACGAACGCUGGCGGCGUGCCUAAUACAUGCAAGUCGAGCGAACAAGGAAGAAACUUGUUUCUUCCUUUGUUAGCGGCGGAUGGGUGAGUAACACGUGGGCAACCUGCCCUGCAGUUGGGGAUAACUCCGGGAAACCGGGGCUAAUACCGAAUAAUCAGUUCCUUCACAUGAAGGAACUCUGAAAGACGGCUAUGCUGUCACUGCAGGAUGGGCCCGCGGCGCAUUAGCUAGUUGGUGAGGUAACGGCUUACCAAGGCGACGAUGCGUAGCCGACCUGAGAGGGUGAUCGGCCACACUGGGACUGAGACACGGCCCAGACUCCUACGGGAGGCAGCAGUAGGGAAUCUUCCACAAUGGACGAAAGUCUGAUGGAGCAACGCCGCGUGAGCGAAGAAGGUUUUCGGAUCGUAAAGCUCUGUUGUGAGGGAAGAACAAGUACAGGAGUAACUGCCUGUACCUUGACGGUACCUCAUUAGAAAGCUACGGCUAACUACGUGCCAGCAGCCGCGGUAAUACGUAGGUGGCAAGCGUUGUCCGGAAUUAUUGGGCGUAAAGCGCGCGCAGGCGGCCUUUUAAGUCUGAUGUGAAAGCCCACGGCUUAACCGUGGAAGGUCAUUGGAAACUGGAAGGCUUGAGUACAGAAGAGGAAAGCGGAAUUCCACGUGUAGCGGUGAAAUGCGUAGAGAUGUGGAGGAACACCAGUGGCGAAGGCGGCUUUCUGGUCUGUAACUGACGCUGAGGCGCGAAAGCAUGGGGAGCAAACAGGAUUAGAUACCCUGGUAGUCCAUGCCGUAAACGAUGAGUGCUAAGUGUUAGGGGGUUUCCGCCCCUUAGUGCUGGAGCAAACGCAUUAAGCACUCCGCCUGGGGAGUACGGCCGCAAGGCUGAAACUCAAAGGAAUUGACGGGGACCCGCACAAGCGGUGGAGCAUGUGGUUUAAUUCGAAGCUACGCGAA
rnacentral:rRNA from 1 species